GAAUGAGAGCUGCUCUACCUGUAAUAGAGAUGAUGUGAAAGAGCAGGAAACAUAUGUUCUCACACUUCCUGUUUUUUCGCAUAAGCAUAAUGUCAAAAGGAAAAGAUGAUGUGCUGCAUUUCUGGAUCUAAUGUUAUACAAUAUUUUAUAAUAAUAAUAAUAAUAAUAAUAAUAAUAACAACAACAACUUUAUUUUUAUACCCCGCCCCAUCUCCCCGAAGGGACUCGGGGCGGCUUACAUGGGGCCUUGCCCGAUACAACAAACAAAUAUCAAUAACAAAGCAAAAGCACAAUUAACCCAAUAAAAACAUCAACAUCAGUAAAAACAGUCAUUAAAAUCAGCAAGAAGCAUACAAUGUUAAAAACUGGAGACUAUCAUAAAUCCUGGGCAAAGUGCAGAAUGUGCCAAAAUGGGGAAAGGUAAUUUCACAGUUGAAAUGGACAAUAAAAUGCAGUAUAACAAUGGCAAUUUUAAAUAAUUUUAAAUAAUUGUGUGCACAAAUAAUGUGUGCAUUGAACCAUCAGAAUGCAAGGGUGUCAUUAGCUUAGCCAUCCAGGUGGACAAUUUCAGAUUUUGAAAUUCCAGGAUAAAGGAUGCUUAGCCUGUGUUGUUGUUGUUGUUGUUGUUGUUGUUGUUGUUGUUGUUGUGUUGUUGUUGUUGUUGUUGUUGUUUCUGCUGCUGCUAUUUCAGGGUUCCAAAAGAAAAAAAAUUGUAGUUAUUGUGGUAUCAAAUGCUGUUUUGCUUUGCUCUUUAUUGCUUUUCUUUAUGGUCCAUUCCAGAUCCCCUCCAGCCUAGCAGCACCCACCCAGCCAAUUGCAUGCAUGAAGACAAUGUCCUGUUCUGCAUCUGCUCCUUUCAGUCCCAGGUACCAGCCCAGAUCCAAUGGCAAAUGGAAGGAGAGACCCUCAGUGGCAAUAGCACCAAAGGAGCCCUGCAGAUCAUGUCUUGGGUCCAUACAAAUGAGAUUGUCAGCUCCUUGAAUUAUAGUGGAAGCUUGGAAAGGGGACAACCCCUCAUCUGUCUUGGAUCCAAUGCUUUUGGAACCUAUGCUGUGCACUUCUGGCUCAGCUCCCCAACAAAAGGUGCCUAUGUGACAAUCCUUGUUUCUGCCGUCUGUGGUUCUUUGAUUACAGCAAGCGUUUUCUUGCUUGGCCUCUGCUUAUCCAGGUCAGUCCUUCCUCACCUCAACUGUGUUCACCUAUGAACCAUCUAACACUUUCUUAUAAUCACUAUCUGUUCUGACAAGCCCCUUCUGAUAAAAUUUAUUUAUAGGCUUCAGAAGAAGCAGAAGGAGGAGGAAGAGAAGCAAGAAAAGGAGAAAAAGUCUUCAUUCAACAUGAGAGUCCACCAGACCAUGGAUGAGAACAGUGCCAUCUACUGCAAUAUGCAGCUUGUGAGAGGUGAUGCCAGAUCCAAGUUUGAGAGGAAUCUUGGACACAAAAGUGUUUCCAACUAAGCCUCAAUCCACUUACCUAUUAUUGCCACUUCCAGGACACUUGCCUUCUUUCUCCGAACCCAGUAUGUGCCAUUGAUUAAAGAAGAGAUAGGGAUUUUUAUUGGUUAGAUGUACGUAAAUUGUGACAUUUCACAAUUGCAUACAUACAACAAAAUAUUAAUUUUACCUCAUAUAACACAUUCAGUUGAUUAAAAAAAGAGAUAUAAGUGAAUAUGUGACACUGCAGCCAUAAUAGGACUGCAAUCCUUAUCAUAAUAGCAUGAUGAAAAGUGAACUGUCUUGGGAGCUGAAUCCCAUCUAUAUGGUCAUGUGUCCAACAUUCAGGAUAUAAAAAGAAGAUGUGCAAUGACUGGAACUUUCUGAUAUUUCCACUUGAUUUUCUAGCUAUUGGUCAUUUGGAAAACACAUGCAAGCAAGCAGAAGCAAAGAAAAGUACAGAGCUUGGAAGGUCUAGAAGUUUAUAGUGGCCUCUGUGUUGGAACAUUAGCCUCUGAAGAUGCUCAUAGAAUGGCAAAAUUGGCCUCAUCCAAGUAUAUUUUUCAAUUGAGUGCCUUAUUUUGGAGUAUUCCUAGAUUUCCAAUGAGAUUUCUAAUGGACUAGAAAGGAAGGCUGGAAUAAAUCAAUAACAUUCCAUACUCAUACACCUAGAAUUGGAAAAAUGUGUUCACGUGUGAUAAAAUAGUUGUUUGGACAACCAUCCCCCCCUUUUGCCAAAAAAGUAUAACUUUCUGAGGUUGACAAAGCAAGAAAUACUCUGUAGAUUUUUUUUAAAAAAAACUUGCAUAGUGAUAGGUGUCUUAAGAUGUUUUUUGUUACAAAUUGAUUUAAUCCAUUACAAAAAAGUAGAGAUAGCAAGUGCUGUAAUUCAGAAACUAUUGACAACUCUCCAAGUGACAAUUUUGUAAAAUGGCUUUAUUUCUUUGAGAGGUCUAGGACUGUAAUUCUUCAACAAUGAAGUUAUCAAAGGACACAAUAAGCAAUUUUAGCCAUUUUCUUUGCAGUGCAGAAAAAAACUUCAAAAGCUUCAGUUUCUGAAGACUACUUACAUUUUGGGAGUUAUUCUGUACUUGACUAGUUUCCAACAAACCUCACAACCUCUGAGGAUGCCCGCCAUAGAUGUGGCCGAAACGUCAGGAGAGAAUGCUUCUGGAACAUGGCCAGGCAGCCCUGAAAACUCACAGCAACCCAUAUUACUGUUUGUCUAAAACAGUGCACUCCUCAGGUUCUCCUUAAUUACUUGUUUUCUAAACACAUGUUCUUUGUCAGAGUCUGUGCCAUUUUUGGACUUAAAGGAAGUCUUUAUGCUGUUUAUUACUUCCUUGUUCAUUUACCACAUUGGUAUCUUUUUUAGAUUUAUUGGCAUUUCCCCAAACUGCACUGUUUUUUCCUCAGUUUCUCUUAUUAUUUUAGAAUCACCCUGAGUGCUUUGACAUUCUUAACCUCUGCUUGCAAUUUGCUUUUAUCAAAUAUUUUCUGGUUUGAGAAGCUGUCUCUUCUAAAACAGAUCUGACUGACUAAUACAAAAUGAUAGCACUUUGGAACCACCAUAGGAUGUCACCAUCCUAUGAAAUGCUAGGAUUAUUUUUUCUUGUGAUGCUUAGAAUUCUUUGCAAGAUAGUUUUACCAUUCAAUUGGAAGUAGACUGGAGAAUUCCAAAUUCCUCCUCAAAGUACCUCUUAGGUUUCCAUCAAAAUGGUUAGGGCAGAUGUAAGGAGUAGAUGUUGCAAAUUUCCUAGCUGCAUGGAAAAUUUUAUGUUCAUUCUUACAUGAAAAGGAAGAUAUUUUAGUUUAGUUUAAGUUUAAUUUAGUUUAAUUUUAUGCUAGGUUUUAAUUACUGUUUUCAUACGUGGGGUUUUCCUGGGAUUUUAUGUUGGUAUUUGUCUGUUUUUAUGAAGCAUUGAAUAUUUGUUGUUGUAUGUUGGAAUCCGCCCUGAGUCCCUUUGGGGAGAUAAAGCAGAAUAAUGUUUUGUUGUUGUUGUUGUUGUUGUUGUUGUUGUGUUAUAUUUUGUUUGUUCUGUUCUAAAAAUAAAUAAGAACUUUCCAAAAUUCACCCAUUCUUCAGAACUUUGACCAAAAAAUAAUUAUGAGAUAGACACAUAUUAAAGUGGUCCUUCCAGGCAAAGCACAAUGACUUCUCAAUCCUUAAAAUGCUGAAAUUGAAGUUCAUGCUAGAGCUGAAUGAGGUUUCUCCCUCUCUUUUUCCUCCCGCUCUCCCAUAAUGUUAAUGUGGCAAACAGAUGCAACAUGGUCCAUGUUGGGGAUUUGGACAGGAAUCUGGUGUGAUAUAUUUUACUUUGGCCUGGAGGAAUUCAUUGGGGGGGAAACAUAACUGAGAAGAUUCCAAAUGUUUAAAGUAGCACUCCUUGGCCAAACUCUGCCCUUCUGACUAAGCAGCAGCUACUGCAAGCAACUGAAGUCUGUUCUCCUGUUGGUUGUGUUGCAAAAGACCAAUAUUUUUAUCAUCAAUGGGAGCCAGCAAUCUCCAGUGUGACAGCCAGAAGCAAAAUCUCUGUCACAUUUCUUCUUUGCACCAAGAAUUGUUUGCAGAAAACAUUGAUCUGAAUCUCAGUUUGACAGGACAGAACAGAAAGUGAAACUAGCAGUAGUUCCUAGAUAGAUUCCAUAGAAGAGAUGCAUAUUAAUGGGUAGUUUUUGCCUCCCCACAACACUUUGAGCAGGGCUUAGUAUGUAAGCUGUCCAUGUACUCUAUAGCAGAGUUUCUGAAACGGUGCUCCUCCAGAUGUUUUGGACUUCAACUUCCACAAUUCCUAACACCUGGUAAGCUGGCUGGGAUUUCUGGGAGCUGAAGUCCAAAAUACCUGGAGGAGAACAGUUUAAGAAACACUACUCUAUAGAACAGUGGUUCUCAACCUGUGGGUCCCCAGGUGUUUUGGCCUACAACUCCCAGAAAUCCCAGCCAGUUUACCAGCUGUUAGGAUUUCUGGGAGUUGAAAGCCAAAACAUCUGGGGACCCACAGGUUGCGAGCCACUACUAUAGAAAAUAUUGAGAGCCAUUAGCCUCAUUUCAGCUAUUUUGUUGCUGACUCCUGUUGAUUGGAAAAACUGGGUUUGACUGCCCUCUACUUGUCUGUCUCAGAAUUUCCUCCUGAAACAGCCACAAGAAAGUGUACCAUGAGAGUGUGGACUGCUAACAUAUGGCUGGAUCUGCUCUGGCAUAUAAUGCAGUUUAGAUGGAGCCUUAGAAAAUUUGGGUCUCUACUUGGCCAUUUUUAUAGUACAGCAGAACCUCUAUUUAACUGUCCCAACUUAAGAAUGUUUUGAGUUAAGAGCUAGCAUCAGAGGGAGAGAUAGCACCAAUGUUCAGGACUUUAAGGCUUCAAGGGAGCAGCCUCCGUGCCUCGUGCUUUUGUCCACUUUGAGAGAUUGCUGUCUGCUUUGGUCUUGUGUGCUCUGAGGAAUUUUGGGCUAGUUGAUUUUGAGUGGUUUUGAUUCCUGGUAUGUUUGGCUGCAUGAAGAGAGAGAGGGAGAGGGAGCAAAAGAGAGAGGAAGGCUGGAAUAAGUACGGUAUGAAUAAAAUUACACCUCCUCUUUCACUUUGUGCUUUGCGCUUCCUUGCCACCACUUUGUGCUUCUACCAUUUUAAAGCUGAUCUUUCUUUUUUAUGGUUCCAUGUGAAUGUGCAUUUAUACAUUAUUUGUGAUUUAUAAAGUACAUUUUAUAAAGAAAGAAUAACAUCACACCAACCACAAGAGAAGAAGCAGAAGAAAUGCAGCUCUGAAGGCACUGGGGUCAGGGCCACUGGUAUAUGGUAUUAAAUUAAAUGGAUUACUCUGCUAGUUUGCUAACAAAGUAAUGCAUUUUAAUUAGAAAGUAUUUUUGAAGCUUCCAAAAAAAGGCAAAUCCAUUUAAAAUGCAGUAUGCUCCAUGCAUAAAAACAGUUGUGUAAUACUAAAUGACAAUGAUUGUGACUAGGAAGUAAAUGAAUAUUGUGAAAGUCAUAAUGCUCUGAACUCUUAAGAAAAUCUAAAGAACCAUGAUUUUGCUGCAAAUUUGCAGAGAUAUGCCUUCAAAUAAGCUACUGUCAAAAGAUUAAUGCAAUGGCUUUCUCUGUUCAAGUAUUGAAUGCCUGUGUGGUGUCAUCAAAAUUGAGAAUGAAUUUUCUAACAGAGUUGUUUGUGCAUGGAAAGUGAGUUCUGCAGCCUAUGAAGUGUAUGUUCAUGGAAAGCCUUUCUUGUGCAUAGACUAAGUUGGUAAGUUUGUGAAGUUUUAGUGUUGUGCAGAAUUCAAAACUAUCCUUUUCUUUGGAUGUCCAAACAGUGUUUCUAAAUGCUCAACUGAAGUCUUAAAUGACAACAGUGUAUUAAAAUUGGAAGAUUUAAGGAAAUUAUCAUAGGGAGAAUGGAUUUUUAUUCAAGAGGCGAAUCCCUUCAUCCGCCACCUCCACCCUGCAUUAUUAAAAUCUCUGCUCCCAUCAUAACCAACUUUCCUUCCAGUGCUUGGAAGCCAGCAAAGGCUGGUGGUCUUUGAUCUAAACACAGCUGUGCCUUUCCUCUGUGAGAGGGAAGUGAGGGAUCAAGAUGUUGUAACCUCAAGUUUCCUCACUCCAGCUGUUGCAGCAU
ensembl:lncRNA